rnacentral:rRNA from 1 species
AGAGUUUGAUCAUGGCUCAGAUUGAACGCUGGCGGCAGGCCUAACACAUGCAAGUCGAACGGUAACAGGAAGCAGCUUGCUGCUUCGCUGACGAGUGGCGGACGGGUGAGUAAUGUCUGGGAAGCUGCCUGAUGGAGGGGGACAACUACUGGAAACGGUAGCUAAUACCGCAUAAUGUCGCAAGACCAAAGAGGGGGACCUUCGGGCCUCUUGCCAUCGGAUGUGCCCAGAUGGGAUUAGCUUGUUGGUGGGGUAACGGCUCACCAAGGCGACGAUCCCUAGCUGGUCUGAGAGGAUGACCAGCCACACUGGAACUGAGACACGGCCCAGACUCCUACGGGAGGCAGCAGUGGGGAAUAUUGCACAAUGGGCGCAAGCCUGAUGCAGCCAUGCCGCGUGUAUGAAGAAGGCCUUCGGGUUGUAAAGUACUUUCAGCGGGGAGGAAGGGAGUAAAGUUAAUACCUUUGCUCAUUGACGUUACCCGCAGAAGAAGCACCGGCUAACUCCGUGCCAGCAGCCGCGGUAAUACGGAGGGUGCAAGCGUUAAUCGGAAUUACUGGGCGUAAGGCGCACGCUGGCGGUUUGUUAAGUCAGAUGUGAAAUCCCCGGGCUCAACCUGGGAACUGCAUCUGAUACUGGCAAGCUUGAGUCUUGUAGAGGGGGGUAGAAUUCCAGGUGUAGCGGUGAAAUGCGUAGAGAUCUGGAGGAAUACCGGUGGCGAAGGCGGCCCCCUGGACGAAGACUGACGCUCAGGUGCGAAAGCGUGGGGAGCAAACAGGAUUAGAUACCCUGGUAGUCCACGCCGUAAACGAUGUCGACUUGGAGGUUGUGCCCUUGAGGCGUGGCUUCCGGAGCUAACGCGUUAAGUCGACCGCCUGGGGAGUACGGCCGCAAGGUUAAAACUCAAAUGAAUUGACGGGGGCCCGCACAAGCGGUGGAGCAUGUGGUUUAAUUCGAUGCAACGCGAAGAACCUUACCUGGUCUUGACAUCCACGGAAGUUUUCAGAGAUGAGAAUGUGCCUUCGGGAACCGUGAGACAGGUGCUGCAUGGCUGUCGUCAGCUCGUGUUGUGAAAUGUUGGGUUGAGUCCCGCAACGAGCGCAACCCUUAUCCUUUGUUGCCAGCGGUCCGGCCGGGAACUCAAAGGAGACUGCCAGUGAUAAACUGGAGGAAGGUGGGGAUGACGUCAAGUCAUCAAGGCCCCUUACGACCAGGGCUACACACGUGCUACAAUGGCGCAUACAAAGAGAAGCGACCUCGCGAGAGCAAGCGGACCUCAUAAAGUGCGUCGUAGUCCGGAUUGGAGUCUGCAACUCGACUCCAUGAAGUCGGAAUCGCUAGUAAUCGUGGAUCAGAAUGCCACGGUGAAUACGUUCCCGGGCCUUGUACACACCGCCCGUCACACCAUGGGUGUGGGUUGCAAAAGAAGUAGGUAGCUUAACCUUCGGGAGGGCGCUUACCACUUUGUGAUUCAUGACUGGGGUGAAGCCGAAACAAGGUA